UAGGGAGACCAUCUGAUAGUCGACCGAACCUAAACAAUAGGUCGUUGUCAGUCAUCCCUGGUCGUUCGAGAAAUAGAUGUCAAAGCUUUCAAACUAUUAACUGGUUCGGAACUCGCGGGCUAUUAGCUCAGUUGGUUAGAGCGCACCCCUGAUAAGGGUGAGGUCCCUGGUUCAAAUCCAGGAUGGCCCACCUGGAAAAAAGUGAUGAAUUGUCAGUAAUGAGUAAUGGAUAAUCAAUGAUUAAUUCAGGACUCAUACAAUCAAAAUCAGAACUUACUUAGUGGGGGUAUAGCUCAGUUGGUAGAGCGCCUGCCUUGCACGCAGGAAGUCAGCGGUUCGAGUCCGCUUACCUCCACUCUCACUAACUAUUACCACCGCCAAAAAAACCCAAAAAAAUAGAAAUCAGCACCCAGACUAACUUGGUCAAAAAAGAAGUCGGAAUGCUGGAGUCUAGAACUCUAGUCAGAACCUUGAAAACUGCAUAGAAAUUAAGUCAUCAAAGCUUGUCAGUCAUCCGAGCAAUCGGAGUAUCUGACCAGCGACCACCAUGAAAAAAUCAAGU
rnacentral:tRNA from 1 species